UCUCCGUAGGUGAACCUGCGGAGGGAUCAUUACAGAGUUCUCGCCCUCGCGGGUAGAUCUCCCACCCACUGUUAUCGUUACUGUGUUGCUUUGGCGGGCCGCCGGGCCCCGCUCGGCCGCCGGCUCCGGCUGGCGCGCGCCCGCCAGAGGCCCAGCAAACUCUGAAUGUUAGUGUCGUCUGAGUACUAUAUAAUAGUUAAAAUUUUCAACAACGGAUCUCUUGGUUCUG
rnacentral:misc_RNA from 1 species